CUAUUUUGUCUUUGUUUUUCCUUUGCAUCUAGUCUCAUUAAAAGUGAAUAGUAUUCUGCUUCAUUUUAAAGGCAAAACACAUGUGUUCGUGACUAGCAAAAUGGCAGAAUGACAAAGUUCAACCUGCUCAUUAAAUCAUCAACAGCUCUUUGUAAAUUAUUUAAUAAAUGAGAGCUACAGGUUGAGACUAGAAAGUCGACAGUAUGUUUUAGAUUUAUGUGAUCUUCUGAGUGGUCAUGACCUUUUAUUUUACUACAUCUCACAUCUAAUAACCCCAGUUAUUGUCUGUUGUAUUCAACUGAAGUGCAGUUAAUUGAGCUGAAAAAAAAGACUGAAGCCUUUUCAAAAGUUUUGUUAACUUGCAACAAUGGGAAGAGAAUAAUCUUUGUGUUACCUACACAAAGAACAUGGAAACUGUAAUCAACAUGUAUGAAAUAUAUUACUGUGCUUGCAUUUAUGAGGAUGGAGCCACAGAUUACAGAAAGAUAACUGUAUACUGCAAACUCUAAUUAAAGAUCAGAACUUUGCUACUUUC
rnacentral:lncRNA from 1 species